CGCACACCACACACACAUGAGGCUUCUCACCUGAGAGAUGACAGCGCAUUAGCUACUGAGCUGCCUUCAUGUCUACUAGACACUCAAUACACACGGGCAGAUAAUCUGAUUUAAGCACACAAGUUUUUAAUAAGAUUUCUGGUGGAAUCUCUUUCCGCAGUAGGGGCACGGGAACGGCCGCGUGUCCGAGUGGAUGAGCAGGUGUGUGGAGAGAGUCGACGACCUCUUAAACACCUUCCCACAAACCUUACAGCCGAAACUCCGCUCCUGAAACACACAUUCAUACAGUCUGUGUUUACAAUAGAACAUUAACAUACUAGGUCUGUACCCAUAAUGCCGUUGGGUAUUGCCUGUGGAGCCGGCCAAUGGGAGAUCAGCCCUGUUGUCAUGUGACUUGCACAAGUGCGAUGCCAAACCCACAGCAGAGGACAGGAACUACAGAAGACAUCGCAAUAUUAAUA